rnacentral:misc_RNA from 1 species
UUGACUGAUUUGAUACAGCUCACUCAGAGAGGCCCGGCGGCGCGAGGUCAGGGUUCUGGGGGGUGCCGCCGGCGGGGCGCGCCCGCCGAGGCAACGUUUAGGGGUAGCGUUCGCGAUGGUGCGGGAGUCUCUCAACUCGGUAAUGAUCCCUCCGCUGGUUCACCAACGGAGA